UACGGAGGGUGCGAGCGUUGUCCGGAAUCACUGGGCGUAAAGGGCGCGUAGGUGGCGCGACAAGUCAACGGUGAAAGCUCGGCGCUCAACGCCGAGUCGGCCGUCGAUACUGUUGGGCUUGAGCACUGUAGAGGCUAAUGGAAUUCCGGGUGUAGCGGUGGAAUGCGUAGAGAUCCGGAAGAACACCGGUGGCGAAGGCGGUUAGCUGGGCAGUUGCUGACACUGAGGCGCGGACAGCGUGGGGAGCAAACAGG
rnacentral:rRNA from 1 species